rnacentral:rRNA from 1 species
ACAUUUCUAGCUUGCUAGAAGAUGACGAGUGGCGGACGGGUGAGUAAUGCUUGGGAACUUGCCUUUGCGAGGGGGAUAACAGUUGGAAACGACUGCUAAUACCGCAUAAUGUCUUCGGACCAAACGGGGCUUCGGCUCCGGCGCAAAGAGAGGCCCAAGUGAGAUUAGCUAGUUGGUAAGGUAACGGCUUACCAAGGCGACGAUCUCUAGCUGUUCUGAGAGGAAGAUCAGCCACACUGGGACUGAGACACGGCCCAGACUCCUACGGGAGGCAGCAGUGGGGAAUAUUGCACAAUGGGGGAAACCCUGAUGCAGCCAUGCCGCGUGUGUGAAGAAGGCCUUCGGGUUGUAAAGCACUUUCAGUUGUGAGGAAAAGUUAGUAGUUAAUACCUGCUAGCCGUGACGUUAACAACAGAAGAAGCACCGGCUAACUCCGUGCCAGCAGCCGCGGUAAUACGGAGGGUGCGAGCGUUAAUCGGAAUUACUGGGCGUAAAGCGCACGCAGGCGGUUUGUUAAGCUAGAUGUGAAAGCCCCGGGCUCAACCUGGGAUGGUCAUUUAGAACUGGCAGACUAGAGUCUUGGAGAGGGGAGUGGAAUUCCAGGUGUAGCGGUGAAAUGC